rnacentral:rRNA from 1 species
AGCAGCCAGGUGCGAUAAGUAGUGUGAAUUGCAGAAUUCAGUGAAUCAUCGAAUCUUUGAACUCAAAUGGCGCUCUUGGGUUUUCCCAGGAGCAUGUCUGUCUGAGUGUCG